rnacentral:lncRNA from 1 species
ACUUAUACCAUACAAUAGGAUUGUACCCGUGACGUGACCCGUGCACCCUCUUCACCUUAAGUUUUAAUAUCAACCACCAUUUUCCCUUCUUUCUCUUUUUGCAGUAGUCUCUUGCCUCGCCUUCUUCGUCGUCACGGAAUCAGACCUUGAGCCGCCACAUUUUCUUUCCGGUGGCUUCAGCUGCCACGGCCAUCGCCGCGCAUAUAGGAUCCUAAAUUUUCUCUCUUUUUUGAAACUGUCGACGCCGUUACCGCCCUUAAAAUGCCACAUCUCCUUCUCCGAAAACCUGCCGCAAGGCCACCGCGUCGUGGCUGACCGCCUUUGCAAAAACCAACAUAGGCUCGCCGCCGGAUAAUUACACAUCGGCGCUGAACAAGUCCUUAUGUUCUUCAAUGCUUAGCGUUGUGAGUAUACAUAUUUUUUGAAACGUUAAUUUCUGGUAAAUUUAGGUUUUAUGUUUUGUGGAUCUGAUGAAUUUCUUUAGAAACUUAUGAGUAUGAGAUUGGGAAUUGGGGUUGAAUACUCUGAUGCAUUUUUCAUAUAUCUGAAGAUGGGUAGAUUUGAUUUGUGUAGAAAGAGGUGAGUAUUAAGAAUAUGACUCCUAAUCUUAAUGUCAUUGUUUGAUGAUAUUUUGUUUUAUUUAAACUUUGAGUUGUCAAUUAUUGUGAACAGAUGUGCUCCAUAUUUAGUUCUCAAUGACUCCACAUUUUUUGUUUUCAAUUCACAUUUAAUCCCAUUAUUGAAAUCUUUUAUUUGAGAUUGUUAUAUUUUUAUUACAUUAUUAUUGUACAUUUAACGUACUUUUUAAUUUUUAAUAUGUAAGGUAUCGGGUUCUUGAGUUCUUGAUGCAUACAAGCUCUGAAUAAUGAGUCAUCAACAAAAGGAUUUGUGAAAUUAGAGAUCUCUAGUGAAGUCAUUGAAACUUCUUUGGUAAUGAUAAUUUUUUUUAAUUUAUAUUUUUCAAGGUAUGAUUCAUGUUAGUAUUUUAAUAUUUUUUUUAUCAAUUUUAUGAAAUUAGAUGAAUAAUCUAGCUAGAUGAAAACAACACAAACAAUCAUCUGGGUGAUGCAAGAUUUAAAAAAAAAAUUCUGGGUGAUGCCUUUUGUAGAGGCUAAAAUCUACAAUUGAGGAUGACAUCUGCACGUCCGUAUAGAUUGGGCACUAGCAACCUAUCAACGCAAGAAUACGUAAGAGCCCUAGGUUGAGCACCGGGAGGGGGUGUCAACCGUAGAGCCUCCGACGUUCAAGUCAGUAACGGAAUAGCAAAAUAGAAUGACAAAUGAAUUGAAAUAAGAAAGAAAGACAGGUUGGAAUGUUUAGUUAUUCCAAGGUGUCAGUAGCGUGGGAGGGUGGGAACGGUGACGGCGAAUUGUGAUAAUGGAAGGUGGGAGGCAGAGAUAGGCCAAGUUGGCUAUCUCCGAUUUUGAAGAGCGAUCAGCGUGGUGGCAGAAUAGAGAGAAUUCAAGAAGUAGAUAGCAAGUAGGAUUUUCUGUGUCACCCUUUAUACCCUAGUCUGGAUGUUUAUAUAGAGGACAUCCAGCCGCUAAGGUUUCUACAGUCUGGCCUCGUCAUUGCCCUUAUCUCCCAGGUUGUUGCGAUUUGGACGGGAUCAUAAAGAUUUUUCCUCUAACUGUAGUUUGGUGGGAGAUAUCUUUUAGGGUCUGACGGCUGGGAGACGUCUUCUAAGGUUUGACGGCUAGGUCUUGUAAUUCGUCAAUCUAGGUUGACAAUACUCCUUGGGCCGCAUGCGGUAUAUGCAGCUUGGUUAUGGAUUCAAGUCGAUCCAUAGCUUUCCGGGCUAGAUGGGUCAAUCUGUUUGAUUAAUUGGGCCUUUUAGGGUCAUGCUAGAUUGGGGAGUUAGCUGCGCGGGCUAGCUUGAUGGGCCAGGCUGAGUGUGAAUUAUUCAGCCUGGCUCAGACAAGCUGGUCUUGAAGUGAAGUAUUCACCCUGAGUUAGUUCGGAUAUGUCUUAAUAAAUAUAAUUUGACUUAUCGGGUUGGGCGAACAAGUUUUCUUGAGUAAUUGGAUUAUCAUCGUUAUCGACCCAAGUUGGUCUGAAGCUUCUCGAACUGGAUGGACCGGAUUGCUUGACUCAUUGAAUCAUCUUGGAUUGUUAAUUGGUCUCGAGCCAGGUUGACGGAUUUUGCCCACUAUAGUUAGCCCCCCACUCUACAAUUAGAAUUUUUUAAUUGGAGAGUUAAUUUGUUAUAGCUAUUCCGUAUAUGUUUUCAAUGAUAUCAAUGUGCCAAUCCGCCAUAUCAUCCUAACAAUAGGAAUCAUCUGAACUUCUCAUAUGCGAAUCCGAACAAUGCCUUGCAG